CUCCGUGCCAAUUCUCAGGCUCUAAGGUUCCGUCUGCGUGUAGAAAACAGAGAAAUAUAGGAGCUAACUGGCCGCUUUGCAAAAGUCCUCGGUCAGGGCAGGGAAAAUACCAGUGAGUCCUUUUAAUAGAUCACCGAGGGAAGAAUUUUUGGCCGUGUUACAGAAGAGGAAGGUGAAGCUCAGCGAGGUGAAGAAAUGUGGUCAGUGCCAUGCACCGAGGAAGCAGGGCUGGAUUUCGUGCUUCUGAGUCCUGGAGGAUGAGCUAGAAGUUGGGUGGCCAAAUGAAACACAGGAUGCCUGGUGAAAUCGAAUUCCAUAGACACGACAAAUGUGACAUUCUUAUACUAAAAAAGUAUUUGUUGUUUAUCUGAAAUUCAAACAUAACUCAGUGACUUUUAUUUUUGCUAAUCUAGACGGAGGGGAUGCCCAUGGCUGCCACAGCCAGGACCGCCAGAACUUGGGACUGUGGGGUUCAGAAAAGAAGUUUGAAUGACAGUGCAGUGCCCUCUAAGGUCUUGGGGAGAAGGCAGGCCUAGGUACCAAGGACAACUGGUGCCUGCCACCUGCUGCCUGGCCACCAGGGGGCAGCCAAGGUCUGCACAGCUUCUGAUCUGAGGACUGGAAACUUGUCCGGAACAACAAAGACCUAAGGGACAAAGA